GCAUGGAGUGUUUCCCUAGAUUGAAGACUGGAUCGAAGAAGGGCGGCCUUCAGAAGAUUUACACCCUGAAGACCGUUCUGUUUCACCCGAAAAUGAAAAAAACAGUGGCUGUGUCUUCGGAUAUUAGUGAAUUCUAAACGAUUUUACUUGAAAAAUGGAGCUAAGCUACUAUUACCGUUGCUCACUCGCUGGCUGUCCUAUCCUUCCUGGGGUUCUCCUCUUUAUGUUCUGGGCCACAUGUGCAGGAACGUGGGUUCAAGAUACAAGAGUCCCGGGGACCACGUCUUGGAUUAUGAUAGGCGUACGCAGCUCUCAAAGGAAAACCUCCCAGACUCAUCUGGAGCAUCUGUGCUUUAGUGGCUGCCACGGAAGCGCUUUAGCAGUUUCUCUAAAGGAAGGGGGACUUGUGGAUUUGCGUCUCGACCCGAGGCUGUGACGCCACCGCCAAUGUAUCACGUAAUGCCUUUGGCUGGGGAUCACGGCAGCCUCUGUGACCGAGGUGGCGCGCUGUCCUCUUGCUAUGGUUUCGAACAGGACGUGACCUCCGGAAAUUGAUUUUGACAUUUCCACUCUCACGGGAAGAUUCUGAUGGAAGACAUUCCAUACAGCUGAAUGACUGUGUGACUUGAGGUGGACUCAAAAGUCCUCGAGAAAAUAAAUGAAGUGACCAAGGUCCUUUGAGGAAGAAUCUAUUUUACGAGAGUCUUCCAGACUUUGAAAAAGGCACAGGUAUAACUGGUGUCAGGGGGCCCAACGGGGUCACAGAACGUGACCAACUGCAUUUGGGAUCUUCUCACGUUGCAUGCAAGGUCGGGAGCCAGACUCAUCAUCCUGCCGUUUCCUCGCUCAAGGACCCCUCUCGCAGGAUGUGAUGAGAAAGUGCAGAGGCCCCGGGGGGACACCACCAGCAUGUGCAUCUUGGUUCCACCAGGAAAAUGUCCCUUGUUCUGUGCUCCUAGAGACGUAUGUCCAACCUCAGCUAAGGCAGGUGCGCAUUCUAUUGCAAUUAGACAUGCGUGCUUUCCUUUUCCACUAGCGUGUGCACUUUGAGGGCAGUGACCGUUUCUUUUACUACCGUCCAUCCCAUGACAGGCGCUUAGAAAUGGUCUUUGCCCUCCCUUAUUCUACGUGCAAUAUUAAGCUGUCAGUUCAGCUCAUUGCAGCCCUAAGGAAGAGACAUAAUUAGCCCAUUUUGCAAAGGAAGAGAUUGAGGUUUAAGUUCUUCAAUUACUCACCCCAAGACCUGCAGUUAGCACGUGGGAGAGCCAGACCCCGGAAAAUGACCCCUACAUCUAUUCCAAAACCCAAGCCCUUGGGCCUGCUUGUCCAAUCAUGAACAGUGCUGGGAGUACAUUCAAAUUGUGUGGUUGACUGAGGGAAUGUGUUUCUUUGUCACAGGCUUGGCUAAAAGUGUUCCAUCCAUCGUCUUCUAACUUCUCUGAUAAUCACAAUGUAUUCCUUUCAUGCUGUUGUCUUCUGAGGCCCAGAGAUUUUUCUCCCCAUCAAAUGUAUCUCUUUCCCAAGAAGCUCUUACCAAAUAAAGGACAUUUAGUUGUU